rnacentral:lncRNA from 10 species
CGUUGGCCAGGCUGGCCCUGAACUCCUGACCUCAGGUGAUCCACCCACCUCAGCCUCCCAAAGUGUUGGGAUUACAGGCAUGAGCCACUGCACCCAGCCUUCUGUGUAUUUAUUCACCUAUUUGUUUCUGUCUGUAUGGACCUAUGGAUUCCUAUUUUAUCCAGUGGGUUCUAAUAUCUAGUGUUACCAUUUUUCUUUUGAUGCCCAAAUUGUCCCAGAUCUGGCCACUGGACAGCCCCUCCUUCCAGCUGGGGUUUGCAUCAUUUUACAUCUCUCCAUCUGUCUUGAGCUCUUGCUUUCUGGCACGACAAAGUGCUGCAGGCUCAUCUUGUACUUUCUCUACCCCAGCCCCAGAUCUGCUGUUGCUCCAGGGAGCUUUGGUUCCUUUGACUGGUAUUUAAAAAUCAGUUCUGGGUGCUGGAUGUGCCAUUGUUCCCAGGUCCUCUUGAGGUUCGUUCUAAUUGCCUCCCAUCCUUUAAUUCUCUUUUUCCCAGCAGUCUCUCAUCAUCCUCUAUACGUUUACAUUGGAUCAGUCUCCUCUAUACAAAGCCAGUCUCUGGUUACCACCACCCCAAGCCACAAAGAUGUCCCCUCACCCCGUUUGGGCUCUGACACCCCAUGCUGGUCCACUGCUGGCCUCCAUCUCCAUGGACACUACCUUGCCCAGCCCUACCUGGUGACUCAGAAACCAAGGUCUACGCUGGGAACGUCUUGUGGUUUGCAGUUGUAA